AUUGCCUCCAGGGAGCUAAGGAGUUGUCAGGUGCCACUCCCUUUCUGCGGCCCCGGGGAUUUUUAUCUGAGCUCCUUUCCGCAUGUCUGCCUCUUUCACUUUUCAGCGUCAGUGCUGGUUUAUCAGCAUGCACAGGACUCCCAGGGAUCAGCAGCCCCUGCACUGGCCCACCUCACAGACCUGUCUCAUCUCUGUCUGGCCAGGCGCACCCCUUCAUUCAAAUGGUCUCAGGAGAGGCUCCCAUUGGAUGCUGGGCGUCAGCGGCUUGGCAGACAUCACCUUUCCUUCCUGAUGGUGAGAAUCACGGGGCAGAAGAAUCUCUCUGCAAGGGCUGGGAUGGGCCAAACAAACGGUGCUUCACCUCUCAGCGGACACCCUUCAUCUUCUAGCGGGGCUCCGCCUGGUUCCAGGAUCAGGCAGGAGGGUGAAGCUUCCGCCCCGAACCGCGGACGCCCUCUCUCUUUCCCAGAAUCAACCCUCACUCUCCAGUGCCUGUGGUUUCAGCAAACUCUGCCCUCUGAUCCUUCAGGAAACAAAGAACACUUUUUAUUGGGGUUUUGUCUUCUCCCCAAGGCUCCGCCUGCCUCCAGGAUAAACGCCAUGCAAACCUGUAACCCAUCCUGUUCUCAUCCUUCAGGAGUCAACGCUGAAUCUCGCGUUUUUCCUCCUUCCUGUGCCUGGAGGUGCUCUCUGUUCGCUUUCGUGUUUGGGAUCCAGAGUUUUAUUUAG
rnacentral:lncRNA from 1 species